CCCUUAGAUGUUCUGGGCUGCACGCGCGCUACACUGAUUCAGGCAACGAGUUUACAACCUUGACUGAGAGGUCUGGGUAAUCUUAGAAACUGAAUCGUGCUGGGGAUUGUUCAUUGUAAUUAUUGAACAUAAACGAGGAAUUCCUAGUAAACGCGAGUCAUCAGCUCGCAUUGAUUACGUCCCUGCCCUUUGUACACACCGCCCGUCGCACCUACCGAUUGAAUGCUCCCGUGAGGUAUUUGGACCGCGGUUAACUCUUCCUUCAUUGGAGGCGUAAUUGUGGGAAGUUUCCCAAACGUUAGCAUUUAGAGGAAGGUGAAGUCGUAACA
rnacentral:rRNA from 1 species